rnacentral:tRNA from 1 species
GGGUAAUUAGCUCAGUUGGUAGAGUAUCUCGCUUACAACGAGGCUGUCAGCGGUUCGAGUCCGUUAUUACCCA